UAACCCGCUCCCGCUCGCCGGCGCUGCCCGCGUACGGGAUCUUGUCUUCCGGUAGCGCGCUGAAGUACAGGUGUACCUGCGACACAUGGCGCGAAGGAAUGGUAAUUAAGAGCGAUUGGGACAGACGUGUUGUGAGAUAUCGGGAUUUUGCGCGUGUCUUGAUAAAUGGUUUGAUUGGUUUAAAGAAGCAAAUAGGUUAGAAUACAGUGUCGAGGGCAAAGGAGACACGAUGAACUGGAAAUGAAAAAUCUUUGAAUGGAAAACUUCUUUCAGUAGAUUUAGUGACUAAUUUAGCUUUUCUUGAUUGUUCGUUGAUGUUAUAUCUUGAUAUGUACAUACAUGGUUCGGUUGGUAAAGAGGUUAAGAAACGAAGAGGUUAGAAUAUAGAGUCUUGUGCAAAAGGAAUAAGGUGAAUUGAUUAAUUUACUUUCUUUUAGUUGUUUAUUGAUGCAAUCAGUUUAAGUGCUCGGCUUUUUCGUAUAUUUGUUAGAAAAUGAGGAGAAUAUUGUAAGUUGUAAAGAAAUGGAGGAACAUCGUUUUGAAAGGUUAAUAAGAGGUAUGUUCUUUUUAUGAAAGAUGAAGCAUUAUGUCCUAUAAUAUUUGUUUCUUGUAAUUAUUGUAUGAAUUUUAUGUGUUUAACCAACGUGACAUAAUUUAAAUUAAUAAUGAUCUUUCUUUAUGAAAAGAACUAGAAUUCAAUUGAUUAAUGCACCUGUGCGAUUGAUCAAUCGAGUUAGCUUCCAUAUCGAUAACGUGAUCAAGGAGUGUCAAUCGAUCGGCGCCUCCUGGAAACGCUCAAACGAUCAAACAGAACUUGAUAUGCUUCGAUUUAUUCGAUAUGGAAUAUCGAAUAUCUCUUUGAUCUCUGUGACGGUGAAUCUGAUAAAGAUGCACGUGCAUAAAUAAUUUCGAUGCUUUGAGAAUGAUUGCUUCAAGAAUUCGCCGUGUCCCACAAUAAAAAGAAAGAUAAACGAAUAGAACAUGAUUAUGAAAUUUCCUAUAUCGACUGUGAGGAAAAUAAAAAUAAAAGUUUGAAUUACACAAGUAAAUCUUUAAUGGACGGGUUAGCAAGUUUUACGAGAUGAAUCGAAGACCUUAAACGUUUUAUGUAUCGGCGAUCACGAUGGUCGAUAUUCAUCAUUCAUGAAUAAUUCAGAAAUGAAAUGCUUACAGUUACAUGGGACACGUGACGGACUCCUCCCUUGGACAAAACACUGGAAUGGGUCUGCAAUGUUUUAUUUCGCUUACGGGAUCGACGUUUGACCCGAAUCUUUUCUCAUUUAUAUUUCGUUUCUAUUUCUAACGUUUUUAUUAUGUAAAUAACUAAUUGUAAGUAGGAGGAAAGAGGAAGAAUAAUACAGCAGUAAUGGAAACACCGAUCACAUCAUGAACAUCAUGGUCCCAUUACCGUUAAUCUAAUUUCUGCAACUUAACCUAAAAAAAGAAUGGACAUUUCAACCACCACAUACAAGAAUAUAUAAUCGAUAAAUGUUAUUAGAUAUAUCUUGAGUUAAAAAUAAGUUCUAACGGCCAGAGUACAAAGAUAAAAUCGAGGGACCAUAGUUAUGUCAGUAUUCUAAGCAUGUCGAAUAAGUUAUUUUCUUACUUGAUCUGGCCUGAGGCCUGGCGGGACCCACGUGUACUCUUCGAGCGCGCAUCCGCUGUCAUCGUCGCUCUGCGAGUGCCUCUGAUGAUGCAUCAGAGCCUCUUGAAGGGCGAGGCCUGGCGGAGCCGGUUGCACGGGACUCUUGAAAGGUUCCUGGUGAGAAGAACCAGCGGCCCCGCUCUGAAAAGCCAUGGCCAUGGCCAUCGGCGGACCAGGACCGAGGCCGAGUCCCGAGGGACCGCCCGCCUCUGUCGAGGUCCGUUGAUGCUCCUCCCUGGGACACCUGCAGCUUCUGCACACCUUUCUGAAAUCAGAAUCGAGUGCUCUGGGUUAGAGAGGCUCAGGGCAACGAAAACGAGGUCAUUGGUCUUCUUUGCGUUUUGUUACGUGCUUUAAUCUUACACAGGAUUGGGCGGUGAUCGUAGUACAACCGGGCAGGGGCUGAUAUUACAUGAAAAAAUAAGUUGGAAAUAUAGAAUAACAUUUUUUCAUAUGACGCUUCGUUCAUGAGAAAAUCAAGUUUGAAAAUUUGUCAAAUAUACUUUAAGUUGGAUAGGUACAAAUUAGGUACGAGUAAACAAUCAGCAGGAUGCUAUUAUACACAUGGAAACAAAUCAAAAAUGUAAAUAAAUUUUUCCGCUGAUAGCCUUGUUCGAACUGGCCUAGUGUGUGCGUGUAAUACAUUUUCAAAUUUAUUUUUCUCAAGCAUGAAGCAUUAUAUGAAAAAUAUUGUUGUACAUUUUAGAUUUAUUUUCAAAUGUAGUUUAUAUGUUGAUUAUUUUAAGCAUACUUGUCAAAUCUUCGAAGACGAUGUUUCAGAUGAAAAAAUGUUAUACCAAAUUGUUUUCUUAUUUUUUUAUUUAAAACCACUCUCUGCCCGGUUUCACUACCAUUAGUCCUACCCUGUAUACUUUCAUAGUUUUAUUUUGGGUAAGGUUUCUAACCUAGCAAAUUUAUGUAGUUUAUACAGUAAAUUUAUUUUAAAUAAACUUUAUUUUCAUUCUAUGAAA